rnacentral:rRNA from 1 species
CCUACGGGAGGCAGCAGUAAGGAAUAUUGGACAAUGGUGGCAACACUGAUCCAGCCAUGCCGCGUGCAGGAUGACGGUUCUAUGAAUUGUAAACUGCUUUUAUACGGGAAAAACCCUCAAGACGUGAUUUUGAGCUGAUUGUACCGUAAGAAUAAGGAUCGGCUAACUUCGUGCCAGCAGCCGCGGUAAGACGAAGGAUCCAAGCGUUAUCCGGAUUUAUUGGGUUUAAAGGGUGCGUAGGCGGACUCAUAAGUCAGUGGUGAAAUCCCAAAGCUUAACUUUGGAACUGCCAUUGAUACUGUAAGUCUUGAGUAUGUUUGAAGUGGGCGGAAUGUAUUGUGUAGCGGUGAAAUGCUUAGAUAUAAUACAGAACACCAAUUGCGAAGGCAGCUCACUAAACCAUAACUGACGCUGAGGCACGAAAGCAUGGAGACAACAGAUAGUAUACCUACGUAGUCACUGACCUAACCGACUAGAAUACUACG